ACGCUGGCGGCAGGCUUACACAUGCAAGUCGAGCGCUCGUAGCAAUACGGGAGCGGCAGACGGGAGAGUAACACGUGGGAACGUACCUUUCGGUUCGGAAUAACCCAGGGAAACUUGGGCUAAUACCGGAUACGUCCGUAAGGAGAAAGAUUUAUCGCCGGAAGAUCGGCCCGCGUCCGAUUAGCUAGUUGGUGUGGUAAUGGCGCACCAAGGCGACGAUCGGUAGCUGGUCUGAGAGGAUGAUCAGCCUCACUGGGACUGAGACACGGCCCAGACUCCUACGGGAGGCAGCAGUGGGGAAUAUUGGACAAUGGGCGCAAGCCUGAUCCAGCCAUGCCGCGUGGGUGAUGAAGGCCUUAGGGUUGUAAAGCCCUUUCGGCGGGGAAGAUAAUGACGGUACCCGCAGAAGAAGCCCCGGCUAACUUCGUGCCAGCAGCCGCGGUAAUACGAAGGGGGCUAGCGUUGCUCGGAAUCACUGGGCGUAAAGCGCACGUAGGCGGGUCUUUAAGUCAGGGGUGAAAUCCUGGAGCUCAACUCCAGAACUGCCUUUGAUACUGGAGAUCUA
rnacentral:rRNA from 1 species